AGAGUUUGAUCAUGGCUCAGGAUGAACGCUGGCGGCGUGCUUAACACAUGCAAGUUGAACGAAGCUCUUGGAACCUAUUCCUUCGGGGAGAAGUUUUAUGAGACUUAGUGGCGAACGGGUGAGUAACACGUGAGCAACCAACCCCUGACAGUGGAAUAACAACGGGAAACCGUUGCUAAUACCGCAUAAUAUCCUGUUACGGUAUCGUAAUGGGAUCAAAGAUUUUAUCGGUCAGGGACGGGCUCGCGUCAGAUUAGGUAGUAGGUAAGGUAACGGCUUACCUAGCCUGCGAUCGGUAGCCGGACUGAGAGGUCGAUCGGCCACAUUGGGACUGAGACACGGCCCAGACUCCUACGGGAGGCAGCAGUGGGGAAUAUUGGGCAAUGGGGGCAACCCUGACCCAGCGACGCCGCGUGAAGGACGAAGGCAUUCGUGUUGUAAACUUCUUUGGAGAGGGACGAAGAUGACGGUACCUCUCGAACAAGCCACGGCUAACUACGUGCCAGCAGCCGCGGUAAUACGUAGGUGGCAAGCGUUAUCCGGAAUUACUGGGUGUAAAGGGCGCGCAGGCGGCCCUGCAAGUCGGAUGUGAAAGAUCAAGGCUCAACCUUGACAUGCCAUUCGAAACUGUGGGACUUGAGUGUCAGAGGGGAAAGUGGAAUUCCUAGUGGAGCGGUAAAAUGCGCAGAUAUUAGGAGGAACACCGGUGGCGAAGGCGACUUUCUGGCUGACAACUGACGCUGAGGCGCGAAAGCGUGGGGAGCAAACAGGAUUAGAUAC
rnacentral:rRNA from 1 species